CCCUUAGAUGUUCUGGGCUGCACGCGCGCUACACUGAAGCGUUCAACGAGUAUUCACCUUGCCCGGGAGGGUUGGGUAAUCUUUUGAAAACGCUUCGUGAUGGGGAUAGAUUAUUGCAAUUAUUAAUCUUCAACGAGGAAUUCCUAGUAAGCGCGAGUCAUCAGCUCGUGCUGAUUACGUCCCUGCCCUUUGUACACACCGCCCGUCGCUCCUACCGAUUGAGCGAUCCGGUGAAUAAUUCGGACUGCAGCACUGCUUGGUCUCCAGGCUUUGCAGCGGAAAGUUUAGUGAACCUUAUCACUUAGAGGAAGGAGANGUCGUAACA
rnacentral:rRNA from 1 species